GAUGAACGCUAGCUACAGGCUCAACACAUGCAAGUCGAGGGGUAACGAGAGGAAAGCUUGCUUUCCUUGUCGACGACCGGCGCACGGGUGAGUAACGCGUAUCCAACCUGCCCCCAACUAGGGAAUAACCUUGCGAAAGUAAGACUAAUACCCUAUAAUUUCCUCAGAUGUCAUCUGACGAGGAAUAAAGAUUUAUCGGUUGUGGAUGGGGACGCGUCUGAUUAGCUUGUUGGCGGGGUAACGGCCCACCAAGGCAACGAUCAGUAGGGGUUCUGAGAGGAAGGUCCCCCACAUUGGAACUGAGACACGGUCCAAACGCCUACGGGAGGCAGCAGUGAGGAAUAUUGGUCAAUGGGCGGAAGCCAGAACCAGCCAAGUAGCGUGCAGGAUGACGGCCCUAUGGGUUGUAAACUGCUUUUAUACAGGAAUAAAGUUAGCCACGUGUGGUUAUUUGUAGGUACUGUAUGAAUAAGGACCGGCUAAUUCCGUGCCAGCAGCCGCCGCCG
rnacentral:rRNA from 1 species